ACUCAGGCGGACGCCGGUGACAAACCGGAGGAAGGUGGGGACGACGUCAAGUCAUCAUGGCCCUUAUGUCCUGGGCUACACACGUGCUACAAUGGCCGGUACAGAGCGCAGCGAGGCCGCGAGGCGGAGCGAAUCGCUUAAAGCCGGUCCCAGUACGGAUUGGAGUCUGCAACCCGACUCCAUGAAGUUGGAAUCGCUAGUAAUCGCGCAUCAGCAUGGCGCGGUGAAUACGUUCCCGGGCCUU
rnacentral:rRNA from 1 species